GCAGUCGAGCGAAUGGAUUGAGAGCUUGCUCUCAAGAAGUUAGCGGCGGACGGGUGAGUAACACGUGGGUAACCUGCCCAUAAGACUGGGAUAACUCCGGGAAACCGGGGCUAAUACCGGAUAAUAUUUUGAACCGCAUGGUUCGAAAUUGAAAGGCGGCUUCGGCUGUCACUUAUGGAUGGACCCGCGUCGCAUUAGCUAGUUGGUGAGGUAACGGCUCACCAAGGCAACGAUGCGUAGCCGACCUGAGAGGGUGAUCGGCCACACUGGGACUGAGACACGGCCCAGACUCCUACGGGAGGCAGCAGUAGGGAAUCUUCCGCAAUGGACGAAAGUCUGACGGAGCAACGCCGCGUGAGUGAUGAAGGCUUUCGGGUCGUAAAACUCUGUUGUUAGGGAAGAACAAGUGCUAGUUGAAUAAGCUGGCACCUUGACGGUACCUAACCAGAAAGCCACGGCUAACUACGUGCCAGCAGCCGCGGUAAUACGUAGGUGGCAAGCGUUAUCCGGAAUUAUUGGGCGUAAAGCGCGCGCAGGUGGUUUCUUAAGUCUGAUGUGAAAGCCCACGGCUCAAC
rnacentral:rRNA from 1 species